GAUGAACGCUGGCGGCGUGCUUAACACAUGCAAGUCGAACGAUGAACCCGGAGCUUGCUCCGGCGGAUUAGUGGCGAACGGGUGAGUAACACGUGAGUAACCUGCCCUUGACUCUGGGAUAACUGCGGGAAACUGUAGCUAAUACCGGAUACGACCCUCGGCGGCAUCGCCAGGGGGUGGAAAGAAUUUCGGUCAAGGAUGGACUCGCGGCCUAUCAGCUAGUUGGUGAGGUAACGGCUCCAAGGCGACGACGGGUAGCCGGCCUGAGAGGGGGACCGGCCACACUGGGACUGAGACACGGCCCAGACUCCUACGGGAGGCAGCAGUGGGGAAUAUUGCACAAUGGGCGCAAGCCUGAUGCAGCAACGCCGCGUGAGGGAAGAAGGCCUUCGGGUUGUAAAGCUCUUUCGCACGUGACGAUGAUGACGGUAACGUGAGAAGAAGCCCCGGCUAACUUCGUGCCAGCCGCCGCCGUAA
rnacentral:rRNA from 1 species